AGAUCAAGGCUGAAGUCUCAGCUGGAGUGAAAUAUGCGAAUUUGAGAAUGCCACUCAAAUAAGUAAGAUGUGGGUGACAGGGAAGAGGAACACUCCUCUGUGUCCCUUUUGCAAACAAGCUGAUUCCUGCAGUGGUUUUUCAGAGCCAUCGCUGGCCACGCCUCUGAACCCUGGACCCUUAGCCACAGUAGGCUGAAGCAGCCACUAGAGGUCACUCUGGUGACUUUCUGGAAUAUUGGAAGAGCACUGCCUUUAGUUCUGGGAAACACCUUCAUGGAGGGAACUUUGCAGUGGCACAACCCCUGGCUCCAAUAGCAAUGGUUCUGUGGUGGAUCCACCUCUGCAGCCAGCCCUUCUCUGCCUAGUGCCUCCCUUGAAAUCUGUGGCAUUGUGGAACAUUACUAUUGUAUAUUUUCGGAGCACGGAUUGCUAUGAACAACUGAAGUCAUGAAGAGGGAGACUCCUGUACUCAGUGAUAUUUGCUGCCCCACCCUUGAGAGCAGAAGUGAUUUACUACAGGCUAAGGCCUGUCCUGAUCUUCACACGUGCUGCCUAUUCAGUGCUCUGGAUUCUCACAGAUACCACGAGAG
rnacentral:lncRNA from 1 species